GAUGAACGCUAGCUACAGGCUUAACACAUGCAAGUCGCAGGGUAACAUGAGGAAAGCUUGCUUUCCUUGAUGACGACUGGCGCACGGGUGAGUAACGCGUAUCCAACCUUCCCAUAACUACGGGAUAACCCGUUGAAAGACGGCCUAAUACCGUAUGAUAUCGUUCGCUGACAUCAAAUAACGAUUAAAGGUUUAGCGGUUAUGGAUGGGGAUGCGUCUGAUUAGCUUGUUGGCGGGGUAACGGCCCACCAAGGCGACGAUCAGUAGGGGUUCUGAGAGGAAGGUCCCCCACAUUGGAACUGAGACACGGUCCAAACUCCUACGGGAGGCAGCAGUGAGGAAUAUUGGUCAAUGGGCGAGAGCCUGAACCAGCCAAGUAGCGUGCAGGACGACGGCCCUAUGGGUUGUAAACUGCUUUUAUGUGGGGAUAAAGUGCGUGACGUGUCAUGCAUUGCAGGUACCACAUGAAUAAGGACCGGCUAAUUCCGUG
rnacentral:rRNA from 1 species